rnacentral:misc_RNA from 1 species
CCCUUAUUAGUCAUUUCACAUAUAAAUAGUAACAACUAAAUAUAGUUUUACCGAACACUUAACAAUAUAAAUCAGAUAUUAUCAGCGACCAGCUAUCAGCUAACAGCUAACAGUAACAACUACCAGCAAUAGUUGCCAGCUAACAGUUAUCAGCUGUAUUUAAUAGUUAAACCAAACAGACAUUUUAUAUAGGAUAGGUUUACAAUAAUUAUUGGAAGUUUUGUAAUAAUAGGAAUCCUAAGCCAAACUGAAUAAAAGUUUUAAAGAGAAAAGGAAUAAUAAUAAAAUAGGAAAAUAAAGGUUGUCAGCCAGUGUUAUUAAGGCGAAAAGCGACUAAGUACCUUAUGAUCUUAGGCGAGAGGCAAGGCGAGG